rnacentral:lncRNA from 1 species
CGCCUGCCCGCCGCGAGCCCCGCGCCGUCCCCCGCGCCGCGCCCCGCGGCCCGACCCUGCCGCGGACGCUCGGCACCGUGAGCGCCCUGGUCGCCGCCUCCAGGCCCGCAGACGACGCCCCGGACGGCCCAGCAGAAUGCGGAGCGCACCGAGCCCCGGCCAGGAAGAACCACAAGAAGAUGCCAGUGCCGCCUGGGGCCCCGCAAGGUGGCGGGGACUGAGGGCGGCCGCACAAGGGCAGCCUAGGCGAGGGCACCAACUGGACAGAGGCCUCCGGUCAGCCUCACUCUGACUGCAACCCCCUCUCACUGGACAGCAUCACCUGGACACAGAGCCUCACCUAGUCUGUGUCCCAUGGACACAACUUUGCUUUGGACAGUGACACCAAGAAUACUCACCCCUUUACUUAGCCAGACCACAGGCAGCCACCUGGACACAAACAUCUCUCCAGAGUCAGCCUCCACACAGACUCCACAGCAGAACUCCCAGGGAGGCACUGGGGCAUGGCUUCAGAGCACCAGGCAGCGCUCCGCGGUGCCUAGCACCCGCUCAGCCAGGGCAGCCUGCAGCGGAGCUUGGAGCCAGCAGCUUCUCAUCUCUUGGCCUCGGGAAAUGUAGCUGGAGUCAUCAUUUAGCAGAGCACGGUGUCCCUGGGUUGGCCACCCAGCUUAGUUUUAAAAUAAAAUAAUGUAAUCUUG